GAGAAUAAUUAGGUUUUUGGCUGUAGGUUCGGAGKCGUGAGGCACUUUGUGUGGCCAUAGUCCCGAAAGGGAUUCUGUKGUUCGAAGCKGUGUAGGUGUGCCUCAACAUCGUCAUUGGUUGUAACCCGGUACUCGUGUGCGAGCUGGUCUGAUGCCUUCUAUCCCGGCCGUUUAAAUACACGGUCGGCGGCGCCAAUGUGACUUCUGGGUUUUAUUGUGGUGGCCGUUUUUACCGAUUUUUAAUGGUUGGUGAUUCUUACUUGAUUUUAAUUGUGCACUUUGUUAUUGGUUGUCUGUCGGUUUUUAGAAUGUAUGUGCCAUAAAACUGGGUAUUUUCAACCCCGUGUUUGAUCCUAAUCUAUGGGAUGAUACGGGUUGACGUUUGGUUGGGUGGUUCGUUCAUGUUCGUGUCGAAAUUUGAAUUUCCUGGACCGCCAUGAGAUGUAGUCGGAUCUCCCCGGACAGACUAUUAGCUGUUGGGCGCUUUUGGGCUGGGUAAGAUCGGGUGAUUCAGAUAUAUGGUGGCAGGGGUCGUGUAAAAUGUUUUUUACGUCGAUUUCUCGGGGCGUGAUUGUGCAGUCCAGUUCCACAUCGUGUACUUAACCUGUUCUAACCGGUGUCAUGGGAUGAUUGUUGGAUGGAUGUUACUUUGUGGAUCCUAUGGUUGCCUAAAUCGUCAUUCUCUCAGUUAACUUGUGGAGGGACUUCGGUUGAUAGUGUCGGGAACUCAUGCGUGUGUGGCGGGCAGUAGRGGAGAUUGCUUAUACAC
rnacentral:rRNA from 1 species